rnacentral:lncRNA from 1 species
GGACAGAAGUGGAAAGAUGUCCAAGUGAGAGCAGGAGAUAGCAAUGUGCUAGGCAGAUGGGGUCAGGGCCCCCCUCAGGAGUUUACAAAAUGGAGUGGACAGCUCGUGAACAGUGACUCCAUCCCAGCCUGGAGGUGUGCACAGGAACCCUGAGCCAGUCCCUGAGGCAAAGAUGCAUGAUCUGCACGCUGCUAGGACCCCGGAACCCUAGUAGGACUGGACUCAAUUACCCAAUUUUGAAAAAUCUCUAGCUUAUGGUUUUCAAGGCCACCCAACUCCCUUUUAACCCAACAACAGACACCCCUUGGCAAUCCUCCUUGGGACGGCUAUCCCCGCAUGAGCUCUGCUUUCUAUUACUUUAAUAAAUCC